UGUAUAUACCUCCUGCGGCCUGCAUUC
rnacentral:piRNA from 1 species